rnacentral:lncRNA from 1 species
AAGGACAUCAGAGGAAUAUACAAAGAGGGGGCUGGUAGAGUCUACCGAGGAGGAGGUACCAGCAGUGGUAUUAGAAGCCAUGAUUAAUGAACCAGCUUAAAAGAAAAACAGUUUCGACAAGCAAAAUAAAAUGGAACUAGAUACUCACAUACGGAACCAGAUAGUCAUACACAAAGCAUACAAUACUCAAAAUAAGGACAGAGUUACCCUUCUUCUUCGCGACCGGAGAAGAUCGGCCUUCAAUCAACAGAGAAAACCCUAGGUCCAACACCGGAAACCCUAGGUUCUCAGAGAAGGAUCGAAAGAUUUUCCCCCUCUGAUACCAUAAAAACAUGGAGAUUUGAAGAUGAAAACCAGAGAAGAUGAAGAUGAACAGUGAGAAAUAGAGAGAGAGAUGAGAAGCUUCU